rnacentral:rRNA from 1 species
CGCUCCUCCGGAGGCAGCAGUGGGAUAUUGCGCAUGGGCGAAGCUGACGCAGCAACGCCGCGUGAGAUGAAGGCUUUCGGGUGUAACUCCUUUCAGCAGGACGAAACUGACGGUUCCUGCAGAAGAAGCCCCGGCUAACUACGUCCCAGCAGCCGCGGUGAGACGUAGGGGGCAAGCGUUGUCCGGAUUUAUUGGUCGUAAAGAGCUCGUAGGCGGCUUGGCAAGUCGGAUGUGAAAUCUCCAGGCUUAACCUGGAGUCGCCAUCCGAUACUGCUAUGGCUAGAGUCCGGUAGAGGAUCGUGGAAUUCCUGGUGUAGCGGUGAAAUGCGCAGAUAUCAGGAGGAACACCAACGGCGAAGGCAGCGAUCUGGGCCGGUACUGACGCUGAGGAGCGAAAGCGUGGGGAGCGAACAGGAUUAGAUACCCUGGUAGUCCACGCCCUAAACGUUGGGCACUAGGUGUGGGGCCUAUUUCGACGGGUUCCGUGCCGUAGCUAACGCAUUAAGUGCCCCGCCUGGGGAGUACGGUCGCAAGGCUAAAACUCAAAGGAAUUGACGGGGGCCCGCACAAGCGGCGGAGCAUGCGGCUUAAUUCGAUGCAACGCGAAAAACCUCACCUGGGUUUGACAUGUAGGGAAAAGCUGCAGAGAUGCAGUGUCCUUUUAGGGCCCUUCACAGGUGGUGCAUGGCUGUCGUCAGCUCGUGUCGCGAGAUGUUGGGUUAAGUCCCGCAACGAGCGCAACCCUUGCCCUAUGUUGCCAGCGGAUAAUGCCGGGGACUCGUAGGGGACUGCCGGAGUUAAUUCGGAGGAAGGUGGGGACGACGUCAAGUCAUCAUGCCCCUUACAUCCAGGGCUGCACGCAUGCUACAAUGGCCGGUACAAAGGGUCGCCAACCCGCGAGGGGGAGCCAAUCCCAUAAAGCCGGUCUCAGUUCGGAUCGCAGUCUGCAACUCGACUGCGUGAAGUCGGAGUCGCUAGUAAUCCCGAAUCAGCACGUCGGGGUGAAUACGUUCCCGGGCCUUGUACACACCGCCCGUCACACCACGAAAGUCGGCAACACCCGAAGCCGGUGGCCCAACCAGUAAUGGAGGGAGCCGUCGAAGGUGGGGUCGGUGAUUGGGGUGAAGUCGUAA